CGGGUGAGUAACGCGUGGGUAACCUGCCUUAUACAGGGGGAUAACAGUCAGAAAUGGCUGCUAAUACCGCAUAAGCGCACAGAGCUGCAUGGCUCAGUGUGAAAAACUCCGGUGGUAUAAGAUGGACCCGCGUUGGAUUAGCUGGUUGGUGGGGUAACGGCCCACCAAGGCGACGAUCCAUAGCCGGCCUGAGAGGGUGAACGGCCACAUUGGGACUGAGACACGGCCCAG
rnacentral:rRNA from 1 species